rnacentral:rRNA from 1 species
GACGAACGCUGGCGGCGUGCUUAACACAUGCAAGUCGAACGGUGAAGCGCCUUACUUUUUGGUGGGUGUGGAUGAGUGGCGAACGGGUGAGUAACACGUGAGUAACCUGCCCCCUUCUUCUGGAUAACCGCAUGAAAGUGUGGCUAAUACGGGAUAUUCUGGGUCUGUCGCAUGAUGGGUCUGGGAAAGAUCUUGUUUCGGUGGGGGAUGGGCUCGCGGCCUAUCAGCUUGUUGGUGGGGUGAUGGCCUACCAAGGCGGUGACGGGUAGCCGGCCUGCGAGGGUGGACGGUCACACUGGGACUGAGACACGGCCCAGACUCAUACGGGAGGCAGCAGUGGGGAAGAUUGCACAAUGGGCGCAAGCCUGAUGCAGCGACGCCGCGUGAGGGAUGGAGGCCUGCGGGUUGUGAACCUCUUUCGCCAGUGAAGCAGGCCUGCCUCGUUUGUGGGUGGGUUGACGGUAGCUGGAUAAGAAGCGCCGGCUAACUACGUG